rnacentral:misc_RNA from 1 species
GUGAGUCAUCGAAUCUUUGAACGCACCUUGCGCUCCUUGGUAUUCCGAGGAGCAUGCCUGUUUGAGUGUCAUGAAAUCUUCAACUUACAGACCUUUGCGGGUUUGUAGGCUUGGACUUGGAGGCUUGUCGGCCGUGUUUCGGCCGGCUCCUCUUAAAUGCAUUAGCUUGAUUCCUUGCGGAUCGGCUCUCGGUGUGAUAAUGUCUACGCCGCGACCGUGAAGCGUUUUGGCGAGCUUCUAACCGUCCUCGUUUGGACAGCUUUAUGACCUCUGACCUCAAAUCAGGUAGGACUACCCGCUGAACUUAAGCAUAUCAAUAAGCGGAGGA